rnacentral:rRNA from 1 species
CAGGUAGGACUACCCGCUGAACUUAAGCAUAUAAUAAA